GACGAACCGUGCGAACGUUGUUCGGAUUCACUGGGCUUAAAGGGCGCGUAGGCGGGCAGUCAAGUCUGGGGUGAAAUCUUUCGGCUCAACCGGAAAAGGGCCUUGGAUACUGGCUGUCUUGAGGGAGGUAGGGGCAUGUGGAACUUCCGGUGGAGCGGUGAAAUGCGUAGAUAUCGGAAGGAACGCCGGUGGCGAAAGCGACGUGCUGGACCUCUUCUGACGCUGAGGCGCGAAAGCCAGGGGAGCAAACGGG
rnacentral:rRNA from 1 species